GACGAACGCUGGCGGCGUGCUUAACACAUGCAAGUCGAACGGAAAGGCCCUGCUUUUGUGGGGUGCUCGAGUGGCGAACGGGUGAGUAACACGUGAGUAACCUGCCCUUGACUUUGGGAUAACUUCAGGAAACUGGGGCUAAUACCGGAUAGGAGCUCCUGCUGCAUGGUGGGGGUCGGAAAGUUUCGGCGGUUGGGGAUGGACUCGCGGCUUAUCAGCUUGUUGGUGGGGUAGUGGCUUACCAAGGCUUUGACGGGUAGCCGGCCUGAGAGGGUGACCGGCCACAUUGGGACUGAGAUACGGCCCAGACUCCUACGGGAGGCAGCAGUGGGGAAUAUUGCACAAUGGGCGGAAGCCUGAUGCAGCAACGCCGCGUGCGGGAUGACGGCCUUCGGGUUGUAAACCGCUUUCGCCUGUGACGAAGCGUGAGUGACGGUAAUGGGUAAAGAAGCACCGGCUAACUACGUG
rnacentral:rRNA from 1 species